GUUUAAAACGGCGCCGCUUCUUGUAAGCGCGAUUACUGAUAGAGUGCGCGCCGAUGUGUUAAAGGAGUUUCCGUGCGCUACGAUCCGUCUCGCUCCUGUCUGGAUCCCUACCGUGCUGUUGACAGCGAGGAUGAGGAAGACGCCCUCAACUACCUUAAUUCGUUACCUCUGAGCGGAGUAAAACUGUAGGCUCCUGAUCCUCUCCGCGUUUCACGGAGAUGAUGAUAAGGUGUCACACUCGCAGCUCUGGGCCACGCUACGGAUGUCGUCAUGCGCCCCGGUGGCGUCGCUGAAUAGCGGGGAGUCACUGUGCCAGGUCCGGUCACACCGGGAAAGUUGCGCUCGAGAGUGUUGUGUGGGACAUGGGAGCACGACUGGGUCGAGUGGGAUACGCUGGUGAAGGAUCGGCGUCCUGAGUGGCGAGCUGUUUGUUGGUGUCGGGAGAACCAGGGUGCGUCGCACCGGAGCCAUGCGCACCGAGCACAGCUUCGUUUUGCUGCUCCUCAACGGGACGGCGUGCCUGUUGGUUUUGGCACAGGAAGAUCGGCACUCCUCUUCUUCGCUGAGUCCUAAGUCCUCCUCUCUUGCAGAACCCUCCAAGACUCUGAGUGUUCUUGGCGGUCAGGGCUCCAUCUCCCCCCUCAGCCGCUGGGUGCUGCAUAGCCGCAGUCGAGCAGCCAAUGCUUCAGCGCUAGAGCUACCCUACCGCUCACCUGUGCCCUUCUCCAAGCAAGAAUUUUGGGAGAUGCUGGGCAGUGACCUCCUCAAGCCUGACACAGCUUCUGAUGACAACGCCUCUGCAAGCUCCCGGGUCAAGCGCCGUCCCAUUGUCAAGACAGGCAAGUUUAAAAAGAUGUUUGGCUGGGGCGAUUUCUACUCCAACAUCAAGACAGUGCGUCUCAACCUGCUCAUCACUGGAAAGAUUGUGGACCACGGUAAUGGGACAUUCAGCGUCUACUUCCGGCACAAUUCCACAGGCCAGGGCAACAUCUCCGUCAGCUUGGUACCCCCUGUGAAGGCGGUGGAAUUCGACUUGGAGCGCCAGAGCGUGGUGUACCCUAAGGACUCCAAGAUCUUUAACUGCCGCGUGGACUACGAGAAGGUGGACCGCAGCAAGCGCACCUCGCUGUGCAACUAUGAUCCAUCCAAGACCUGCUUUCAGGAGCAGACCCAGAGCCACGUGUCCUGGAUUUGCUCCAAGCCCUUCAAGGUCAUCUGCAUCUACAUCUCAUUCUACAGCACAGACUACCGGCUAGUGCAGAAAGUCUGUCCGGACUACAACUACCACAACGAGAUGCCCUACCUUCCCUCUGGAUAGAAGGGAAUGGGCAAAGGGGGCAGAAAGUCAGGGAUGGGAUUUGAGAAGAAGUGAGGAGCGGUACAACCGAGGAGGGAGGGAUGAGGAAAAAAGAGCAUGAGUGAUGAGAAUGGAAGUAUUGAUGUGGGAGGUCUGGGUAUAUUUCAAGUUGUAGAAAAAGCUCUCUUCAGGGUGUUUAUGGGACCCUUUAGGGAAUCGUACCUAUUUGGAAAAAAAGACCCCUUUGCAAACCGAGCAUUUUUCCAUGGAUUGUGUUUGAUCAUCUGUAAAAUUCUUAAGGUGAAUGUAAGGCAUUUUUGCUCCUGUGAUAAAUGUCUUUAAAGAAACUCUCUAAAAAAAAUCCUGACAAAUGUGACUGCAAAGCUCAACAUAUGCAAAUCAAGCUCUCUGCUGCAGGUAUGUGGGUGAGAGAGAGCACACUGACAUAAGGCUUUGGUGACAGGCAACCCCCACCGGUGUGCUUUUAACGCAUCAUCGGGCCUACAUCAGGGCAAGGUGACAUACAUAUCUGAGAAAUCAUAAAACAAAGAACAAUUACUAUGUUGAUUUCAAUACGCCUACUAUGCAGAUGCUAGGGGUGGUGUUCAGGUUCCUGAGGACAAAAGAAGUCUAUAUUUUCAGUGUAUAAUUCAGGUUGAACUCUCCAGAACAGCCAACAACAACAACUUAGACACAAAUGACCUCUGGGUAUCCUCAACUGCAAGUGUUCUCAAUAUAAAAGAGUGAAGAAAGACAUGAUUAAGACAGUGGAGCAUGCAAAAAAGAAAAGAAAAGAAAAAAAACACAGCAAAGAGAGAAAAGGCAAAAGUGAGAGAGGGUUUAGGACACUUUUUAAUUAAAAGUGAAGCAGAGAGAGAUGUUGAGUAUGAAUUGCAGCAUCCACUCUAUUGUUCUAGCCAUAUGAGAUGAGGGGGAAAAGAUUACAUUUUGUUGCUGACAGGACGCCUGAUUUCUCAGCAUGAUAAGUUACCCACUGAAUGCAAGAUUGCUCCAUCCUUUUUCUGCUAGAGUCAGCCUGUAAUCUGUGAUUAAAAAGCAGAAUAUUAUGGCGAUAAUUAUGCAUAAUUUAAGACUUAUUUAAAGACUUUGUUAAAUGGAUUGGAUAGAUUCAGAUAUUCAUUUGCACUGGGAAAUCUUCUGACAGGCCAAAUUACUGCAUUAGACAAAUCAGCAGUCAACUUGACCUUCAACAGCUGUGUAAUUUAAUGACCAUUUCUGUUAAGGUCAUGUUGUAACAAACAGAUUAACUUUGAUAGUGGGCGAUGAGGUCAGAAAGUGAAAGAGUAUAAAAAAAUAAUAAUAAAGACAAGAAAGGAGAAGAAGAAUGGAAAUACAGCUACAGUGACAUGAAAUGUGUCUGUGAUGGUCAGGGAGUUGACGGACAGAGAAGAAAGUUGUUAGGGUGUUGUUAGAACACCAAGUGAAGAGGACAGACACAGAAACGGGGGGAAAAGAAUAUAAUAAGCAUGGGUUGAAUGAUGAUGCUAAAUGCAUUAACAAUGCCUCAAUGUGGAACAUCAAAGCAUCAUGCUGUUCGAUUCAAUGGAAGAAGAAAACAAAGCAAAAGAGAGAAGGAGAAGGUAAAUGGCAGUCUUUUUAUGGGUUUAUACCUAAAAGCAUGUCUUGCCUGAAGAGAAAGCCAGCGUGGUGUAUCCCCCUCAGGCCUGCACAUUAGCACUGAUAUAAAGGCAGGAGCAUCCUGAGCGCUGCGUCUAUUUAUGCUCAGUUAUGAAGCACUGUACCCAUUCCAUUUAUCUCACUCUAUUCCCUUUCCAUCCUACAUAGGCUCAUUAGGAACUGCUCAUGGAGCCAUUUUUCAAAUGUUCUAUUUGAGUGCUUAAAAAGCUAACUCAAUCAAAUAUAAUACCCGUCUUACUACAUUAUUCAGAUUCAAGUGAUCAAUAACUUUAAUGGUCCUUUAACUGUUCAUACUCAAUAUUAUUAUGUAAUACUGUAUAUAUUAUCAUAUCCACAGAUACAUAUGUGAUGUGAUAUACACACUAGGCCUCGUGUAGUGGGUGUGUACUGUACUGUGGCUUUCAGGUGUCUCUGGAGCUUGCAUCUUCACUACACACUAAUCCCUUUAAAUUUAACUACCUGCUAAUCCAUCCGGUUUAAUCUCAUCUAAUUACAGAAACUCUAUUCUCCUCUUGACUAAUUACAUGCCAAUCUUAUCUAUUUAACUAAAUCUCCUCCGAAGUUUAAAAACACCCUAAUCUCCUCCAGGUAAACUACAACUAAUCUCCUCCAGUUUAAAAAUACCCUAAUCUCCCCCAGUUUAAUACACCCCAAUCUCCUCCAUUUUAAAUACAGCCUAAUCUCCUCCAGUUUAACUAUACCCUAAUAUCCUCUAGUUUAUCUACACCCUAAUCUCCUCCAGUUUAAUACACCCCAAUCUCCUCCAUUUUAAAUACAGCCUAAUCUCCUCCAGUUUAACUAUACCCUAAUAUGCUCCAGUUUAACUACAGCCUAAUCUCCUCCAGUUUAAUACACCUUAAUCUCUUCCAGGUACACUACACCCUAAUCUCCUCCAGUUUCAAUAAACCCUAAUCUCCUCCAGUUUAAUACACCCUAAUCUCCUCCAGUUUCAAUACACGCUAAUCUGAUCCAGUUUCAAUAAACCCUAAUCUCCUCCAGGUAAACUUCAUCUAAUUCUAAUCUAAUCUAAUUCUUCCAGUUUAACUAUACCUUAAUCUCCUCCAGUUUAACUACACUCUAACCUCCUCCAAAUAACUACGUUCUAAUCUCCUUCAUUUUAAAUACAUUCUAAUCUCCUCCAGUUUAUGUACAUGCUAAUGUAAAUGAUAGCCAGUGUUUUUACCCCCUCCCCAUUCUCUCUCUCUCUCUCUGUCUCUCUCUCUUACCAUCAAUUUCUGCUUCUUCACCUUUCCUCCUUAGCAGCUGGGCCCACAUCUGUUACAUGGUCCACAAUUCACAGAAUUCACCACAAAUACCUAACCUAACAUUACUGCCUUGUUAAACAUUACUGUCAUACAAAUGUCUCAUCAUCCUUCUGAAGGAUCUUGUUACCGUUAAAGUGUUGCUAAGUCACUAAUAACAUGGGGGGGAGAAGAAAAACACCGCAUGGUGUAGGAAAUUAUUCAGAUACAGAUGCAAAAGAAAGGGAUUUUUAAUGGUCAGGGAGAUCUAUGUGGGACUUUAUCUUCAGCAAGUAAGCUAAACCAGCUUAAUUAUUUUACAUAAUGUAGCAUCUGUUCUUUGCUCAGUUUGUUCUCCAAAAAACAGAUUUUGUCAUCGAGCGAGCUGUCGUUUGUGGACAGCAAUUCAGCAAUAGGCCUCAACCGGAGAGUGAGAGGAAAGGAUGAACUUGUACUGUCACGCGCUGGUGGGUGUUGCCAACAAAAGGAGAAAAGUUCAAGUGGUGGAAUGUGCCAGUUGUCAUAGCAACCGGCCCCUGUGAAGUGCGGACGGAGCCUCGGACACUUGGCUCUGAACUGAGUUAGUGCUCAAUACAAACUGAAACUGAGCUCUCUUAUGGCAGAUGGUACUGUCAGUACUCUAUAAAAUACAUCAUUAUAUACAUAUAUAAAUAUAUAUCCUCACAAAGCCAGCGGUCGGACUGGAUCUAUUGUAUGGGACACUCAAGUAGACUCUCUAGCUCAUUAAAGGUUUUCAUUCGAACCGAGCAGUAGAACAUCAGUAGUUUGAAGACAAAUCGAUUGCGUAAACGAGUAAAAUCAGGUGAGAAGAUAAGGUAGGAUGUUGCUGGGUUGAAGAGUCCAUGUAUCAGCACUGUUUUGACAAAGAUAUGAGAAAUUGAAGUACAGGUCAACUAUUCUGAGUCUAAAUCUAAUGUUUGCUGAUUUUCUGGGGCAGUUUAUAUUAUCCUAGCCAACAUGGCAUCAUACUUGCAAACUGGUAUCAAUUCACACAACUCAGGUUCCCUGAAAAUAACAGAAAGUCAGGGUUAGGUUUAGAAGUACUAUUAGCAUUUAUAACAAAACACGUUUAUUUGUCAUAUGUACAGAUAUCAGUGACAGUUUGUACCAGCCAUCAACAUAGCCAUGAUUCAUUUUAAUUGGUCCAAUUUUUUUUUUUUUAUGAUAUCAGGUUGAUCCCAGGAUCUAGUACACUAUAACACCAGCACAGAAGGGAAUACUGUAGAGCUUAUGCUGUAUGCUGUAUGCUGUGCUAAAUUAUUUUUCAGUGGGGUCUCCAGUUCAAUCCUGAGCUCACUGUCUCUAUGACGUUUCCGAUGCUGUGCCUGUGAUUUUGUUGCUUUCAUCUAGGUUCUUCACAAAAGCAUGCAGGUAGGUGAACUGGCUAAAUUAAUCUGAUCCUAUGUGUGUGUGUAAAUCGGUGUGUAAAUAUGUGUUUGUGUGCAAGAUGCCCUGGCAUCCCAUCCAGGGUGUAUUCCCACCCAGUGUUUCUGAGCAGAAUAGAUUGAAGGUUUUAUUUAUUUAUUUAUUUAUUUUUGGAGUAAAAUUAGCUUGGUAGAUCACAGAUAAUGUGCACUAUUUUUUCCAGCCAUUAUGUAAAUAUUUAAUUCCAUCAAGCUGAGCAAAAGCAAACGUAAAUAUGUGUUAACCCACUUACAGUUUGCUCACAGAUCUGCCGAGCAAUUACUUCUAUAACAGUUUUGACGAAUAUGUCAUUUUAAUUUUAGUGAGAAAUCAGACGAAGCUAGUCUAAUUAUUAAAGGCUAAUUUUACUACAUCAGGUAGCAGAUGUCAAUAAAGUGAUGUCUUGUUGCCGCCUGCAGUCAGUUUGUUCAGCAAAGCAUCAGGGUAUCAAUCCUUUUAUCUCUCUUCAGUUUCAGACAGACCCGAUGUGAAAGUCUUCAUUAUUGCUGCAUUUGCAUACUCCAAUUGAAUGCCCACGGCAACACCGGGCUCGGACAAAAGGUGCAGGUAAUAAUCCAUACGGAGAAGCAUGCGAGUGAGAGAAUGAGAGAAAUUGUGUUAGAGGGAGAUUAAUGGCACAAUAUUUUGUACCAACUGAGGCAAAUUUCAUUUGCUCCUUCUUUUAUUCUAUCAUGGUAUUUUUACUUCCUUUCCAUUAUAUUAUUCCCCCACGUCCUGCAUUUUCUUAAGCUAUGUGUCCGUUUCUCUUUUUCUGACACUUUUGUAUUAAUGAACACACUUUUUUGCACUCAUUUCGAGGCCCUAAUUGACUUUAAAUCUGCUCGGCACCUUAAUUAAAUCUCUGAUUACUGAUAACAAGCAGAUGAGUUCAAACAGUCAGCAUGCUACACAGCUUUAAACAAGAUCGAUUACAGCCUAGUUAUCGACACCUCCACCUCUCUGCUCCAUUUCACUCACACCCUCACCCCUCUCUCUUUCUCUCUCUCUCUCUCUCUCUCUCCUUUUCUCUUCCUUUAGCCAUUACUUUUCUCCUCUCUUCUUUUCUCCCUCGAGGCAGGCACCCCUUUAUUCCCCUGUAAGAGUGCAGCCUGCCUCAGGAUAACCUUGGUGAGAAUGAUGAAAGGAGGGGAAAAAAGUCAACAGGAGGGAACGUAGAUCUAAUUUGGAAGGUCGGCUCCCACUCAACGCGAUGUAAUGUAAUUUAAAAGAGCAGAGUGCCUCCGAAGCCAAAUAACCAGCAAGAGAUCAUGAACGAAAGCAUAGCGCAGAGAAAAGGAGGAAAAACACAAAGAACAACAGAAAAACAAGGACACAUCUGAAACAAUUGAUCUAAAUAAGUGAAUCGUGAACAAAACUGAACAAACGAUUUAGCUUUAAAGGCUGAAAGAACCCAAAUAGGACCCAAAUCUGCAACUUCAGAUGUGUGGACAAUGGAAUAAAUCAGAAAUCUUUUUGAACUCUACCUGUAUUAUAUCACUCAGUCCUUUAACAUGGAUCUAUGGAGUGGUUUAAACCGAAUGAUUCAAUAUUUUGAGGCUGUACUUAAUAGUAUUUUUGUACACAUGAAUCCUACCCCAAUCAUAUCACUUUGCAUUAUUGAGGGGAAAUGGAGAUCCUUAAUGAUUGGGUGGUUAUAAAUUCUAGAUUUCUGAUGUGAUCCUACCUGGAAUCUUUAAAAACUUGAACCUUGAACACUGUGGUUCUCACACUUUGUAGUCAACAACUACUUUUCCUCCAAUCCAUGUAUCAUUAUUCCAAUCCAUAUCCCAAAAAAUGACAAAAAAAAGCAUUACCCCCCCCCCAAUGUAUUGCUUUUGCAAAUAUUGUAAAAUAAAGUACUUUUUAUUGCUUGUUUUUUUUUUUGUUGUUGUUGUUUAAAUGUUUGUUUAUUUUAUUGUUUGUUUUCUUUAAUGCAUGGACCAUCUACUCUUUUAAUUUGGUAUUUUGGAAUAUUGGCAUGAGUAGGAUUCUCGAAAUGACAAAUUUGUUGAAAUUGCAUUAAAGUUGCAUUUAAUAGCCAUGUGCUGUGGUCGAGAUUGUUGGCUCAAAAAAUGUUUAUUAUUUAUUGACAUGGCUACUGACAUUUCUAGGGGCUUAUCAGUUACUUGUCCCAUUCUUCUUCCUUCAUGUUCCUUCUUGGCAAAAUGCUUGAAGCCUAUACACCAAUUUAAAGCAGAUGUGUUUCAUGUGAUGUUGUGUGUCAUCAGCUGUAACAUCCAUAUAUGGAUCCAUCAGUGCCAUCUUUUCGACUUGUAACAAUUCAAGACUUCAUGAUGUAUUUUCCUCGGACUUUUGUGUUCGAAGAUUAAAACGAGGUGGAAAAAGACACUAAGGGUUUUUUUUAUUGGCAUGAAAAAAUCGCUGAGAAUUCGGGAUUUUCAUGCUUGUUUUCUUUACAAUAAAUUGAAGGAUUUUUUUUUAAAGUGUAUUUAAAUUUUCACAGUUUUACCUAUAAUAAUAAUAAUAAUAAUAAUAAUAAUAAUAAUAAUAAAUGGAAUCCCACCCAACUUUGAAUCCCACCAAUGGUUUGGAUCUAUUUUCUCUAAAUAUUUCAUUUCUCAGCUCCACCAUAUCCUCAGCCCCAACAUGAUCUUCCAUCUAACUCUCUAACUUUCAGGUUAGUCUAC